CACCCAACAGCUAGCUCACCCCUAAAAAUCAACACAACCAUAUCUAUACCCCCUAAUACACUCAACCUUUAAAACAAACCAUUUUACCCCCUUAGUACGGGCGACGGAAAAG
rnacentral:rRNA from 1 species